rnacentral:rRNA from 1 species
AUUGAACGCUGGCGGCAGGCUUAACACAUGCAAGUCGAACGAGCGGCGGACGGGUGAGUAAUUUCUGAGAAACUGCCUGAUGGAGGGGGAUAACUACUGGAAACGGUAGCUAAUACCGCAUACCAUCAGAUGUGCCCAGAUGGGAUUAGCUAGUAGGUGGGGUAAUGGCUCACCUAGGCGACGAUCCCUAGCUGGACUGCGAGGAUGACCAGCCACACUGGAACUGAGACACGGUCCAGACUCCUACGGGAGGCAGCAGUGGGGAAUAUUGCGCAAUGGGCGCAAGCCUGAUGCAGCCAUGCCGCGUGUGUGAAGAAGGCCUUCGGGUUGUAAAGCACUUUUAGCGAGGAGGCGUUACUCGCAGAAGAAGCACCGGCUAACUCCGUGCCAGCAGCCGCGGUAAUAC